CCUUCCUGUACUCUGAAGGCGUGGCUUUGGGAGGAAGUCUGAAGAAAGGGGUUUGGACUUUUGAAUUGUGUAUUUUCAAAAUGUAGCUUGCUCGAACCAUUUUUUCCAGGAUCUUCCACCCUACCUUUAAUUGAGUAAAAAAAAAGCUG